rnacentral:pre_miRNA from 1 species
GAAAACUUGAAAACUACCGUUGGAUUCAUAAAUGGACGUCCGAGAUUCGUCCACGUCACCCUGAGUUAAAAUUUAACUCGCAGAUUCACUCAUGAGUUAAAAUUUUACUAGGAGUUAAAUUUUAAGUCAUGGUGACGUAGACGAAUCUCGGACGUCCAUUUCUCAAUCCAACGGUAGUUUCCAAGUUUCC